GUCCACGCCGUAACGAUGAAUACUAGGUGUCGGGCCGUAGAGGCUUCGGUGCCGCAGCCAACGCAGUAAGUAUUCCACCUGGGAGUACGUUCGCAAGAAUGAACUCAAAGGAAUUGACGGGACCCGCACAAGCGGUGGAGCAUGUGGUUAAUUCGAUGAUACGCGAGGAACCUUACCAGGGCUUAAAUGUAGAGGGAAUUAUGUGGAAACAUGUAAAGUCUUCGGACCGUCUACAAGGUGCUGCAUGGCUGUCGU
rnacentral:rRNA from 1 species